rnacentral:rRNA from 1 species
AUAUCAAUAAGCGGAGGAAAAGAAACUAACAAGGAUUCCCCUAGUAACUGCGAGUGAAGCGGGAAAAGCUCAAAUUUAAAAUCUGGCGGUCUUUUGGCUGUCCGAGUUGUAAUCUAGAGAAGUGUUAUCCGCGCUGGACCGUGUACAAGUCUCCUGGAAAGGAGCAUCAUAGAGGGUGAGAAUCCCGUCUUUGACAUGGACUACCAGGGCUUUGUGAUGCGCUCUCAAAGAGUCGAGUUGUUUGGGAAUGCAGCUCAAAAUGGGUGGUAAAUUCCAUCUAAAGCUAAAUAUUGGCGAGAGACCGAUAGCGAACAAGUACCGUGAGGGAAAGAUGAAAAGAACUUUGGAAAGAGAGUUAAACAGUACGUGAAAUUGCUGAAAGGGAAACGCUUGAAGUCAGUCGCGUCAUCCAGGGAUCAACCUUGCUUUUGCUUGGUGCACUUUCUGGUUUGAUGGGUCAGCAUCAAUUUUGACCAUUGGAAAAAGGUCAAGGGAAUGUGGCAUCUUUGGAUGUGUUAUAGCCCUUGGUCACAUACAAUGGUUGGGAUUGAGGAACUCAGCACGCCGCAAGGCCGGGUUUUAAACCACGAUCGUGCUUAGGAUGCUGGCAAUAUGGCUUUAAUCGACCCGUCUUGAAACACGGACCAAGGAGUCUAACAUGCCUGCGAGUGUUUGGGUGGAAAACCCGAGCGCGUAAUGAAAGUGAAAGGUUGAGAUCCCUGUCGUGGGGAGCAUCGACGCCCGGACCAGACCUUUUGUGACGGGUUCCGCGGUAGAGCAUGUAUGUUGGGAACCGGAAAGGAUGGGGUGAUAUGGCCUGGAAUAGGGUGAUCAGGAGGAAACUCUGGUGAGCUCGGUAACCGAAUCCUGAACGUGCAAUCGAUCGUUCAAAUUUGGGGGGUAUAUA